AGGACAUGAAGAAGAAGGAACAGGGUACACAGUCACCAGAUAUCCAGCACCUAGAGCCUCCUCUAGAUGGAGAGAUCUACUUCUGCUGAGGAGACCCCUCUUCAUCUCCUGUCAAUGCAACGUCCCUCUCACCAGCUGAAUGGAAGGCCAAGUUGCCAAAGUGCCCUCAUCGUCAAACCCUCUAAGUCAUCACAAACACUCCCAACUGACACACAAUAGGAAGUGGAAAGUCUCUCAUCAUGUGAGUCAUAAGCUCCAGCUGCAAUGUUCUGUCUCAGUGCUCACUACAGAUUGGCUCCUGACUGUCACCUGCUAAAAAUAUAUAACAAUAAGGACACUGCUUCUAUGUUAGAUACUGUAGGUUAAAGAUUGUCUAUAACAAUAAGGAAACUGCUUCUAUGUUAGAUACUGUAGGUUAAAGAUUGUCUAUAACAGUAAGGACACUGCUUCUAUGUUAGAUACUGUAGGUUAAAGAUUGUCUAUAACAAUAAGGACACUGCUUCUAUGUUAGAUACUGUAGGUUAAAGAUUGUCUAUAACAAUAAGGACACUGCUUCUAUGUUAGAUACUGUAGGUUAAAGAUUGUCUAUAACAGUAAGGACACUGCUUCUAUGUUAGAUACUGUAGGUUAAAGAUUGUCUAUAACAAUAAGGACACUGCUUCUAUGUUAGAUACUGUAGGUUAAAGAUUGUCUAUAACAAUAAGGAAACUGUUUCUAUGUUAGAUACUGUAGGUUAAAGAUUGUCUAUAACAGUAAGGACACUGCUUCUAUGUUAGAUACUGUAGGUUAAAGAUUGUGUACAACAGUAAGGACACUGCUUCUAUGUUAGAUACUGUAGGUUAAAGAUUGUCUAUAACAAUAAGGACACUGCUUCUAUGUUAGAUACUGUAGGUUAAAGAUUGUCUAUAACAAUAAGGACACUGCUUCUAUGUUAGAUACUGUAGGUUAAAGAUUGUCUACAACAGUAAGGACACUGCUUCUAUGCUAGAUACUGUAGGUUAAAGAAUGUCUACAACAAUAAGGAAACUGCUUCUAUGUUAGAUACUGUAGGUUAAAGAUUGUCUACAACAAUAAGGAAACUGCUCCUAUGCUAGAUACUGUAGGUUAAAGAUUGUCUAUAACAAUAAGGACACUGCUUCUAUGUUAGAUACUGUAGGUUAAAGAUUGUCUACAACAAUAAGGAAACUGCUUCUAUGUUAGAUACUGUAGGUUAAAGAUUGUCUAUAACAAUAAGAACACUGCUUCUAUGUUAGAUACUGUAGGUUAAAGAUUGUCUAUAACAGUAAGGAAACUGCUUCUAUGUUAGAUACUGUAGGUUAAAGAUUGUCUAUAACAAUAAGGACACUGCUUCUAUGUUAGAUACUGUAGGUUAAAGAUUGUCUACAACAAUAAGGACACUGCUUCUGUGUUAGAUACUGUAGGUUAAAGAUUGUCUAUAACAAUAAGGAAACUGCUUCUAUGUUAGAUACUGUAGGUUAAAGAUUGUCUACAACAGUAAGGACACUGCUUCUAUGUUAGAUACUGUAGGUUAAAGAUUGUCUACAACAAUAAGGAAACUGUUUCUAUGUUAGAUACUGUAGGUUAAAGAUUGUCUAUAACAGUAAGGACACUGCUUCUAUGUUAGAUACUGUAGGUUAAAGAUUGUCUAUAACAAUAAGGACACUGCUUCUAUGUUAGAUACUGUAGGUUAAAGAUUGUCUAUAACAAUAAGGAAACUGCUUCUAUGCUAGAUACUGUAGGUUAAAGAUUGUCUAUAACAAUAAGGACACUGCUUCUAUGUUAGAUACUGUAGGUUAAAGAUUAUCUACAACAAUAAGGAAACUGUUUCUAUGUUAGAUACUGUAGGUUAAAGAUUAUCUACAACAAUAAGGAAACUGCUUCUAUGUUAGAUACUGUAGGUUAAAGAUUGUCUAUAACAAUAAGGAAACUGCUUCUAUGUUAGAUACUGUAGGUUAAAUAUUGUCUAUAACAGUAAGGAAACUGUUUCUAUGUUAGAUACUGUAGGUUAAAGAUUAUCUACAACAAUAAGGAAACUGCUUCUAUGCUAGAUACUGUAGGUUAAAGAUUGUCUACAACAAUAAGGAAACUGCUUCUAUGCUAGAUACUGUAGGUUAAAGAUUGUCUAUAACAGUAAGGAAACUGUUUCUAUGUUAGAUACUGUAGGUUAAAGAUUAUCUACAACAAUAAGGAAACUGCUUCUAUGCUAGAUACUGUAGGUUAAAGAUUGUCUAUAACAUUAAGGAAACUGUUUCUAUGUUAGAUACUGUAGGUUAAAGAUUGUCUACAACAAUAAGGAAACUGUUUCUAUGUUAGAUACUGUGCUCCUGAUGUGUUUGACAUGUUGCAAUAAUCUCAAUACAUUUUACAUUUGAUGCUAUUGAUCACAUGAAUCAUCUUUUCUGGUGCAUGUCCAAGAUCGAUAAUCAAUAUGUUGUUUAUACAGAUCAGUCUACACAAUAUUGAUACUAUAUAGUCCCAUAAGAACUGGAGAAAACUCAAAGACUGAUGUCAGUUGAUCGUUGUUGUGGUUCAAUGUUUAAGAGCCACUUGUUACUAAUACCUGAAGAACCAGAGAACACAUAUGGAACCAUGUUGUAACCAAAAAUACGUUAAACAAAUCAAAAUAUAUUUUAUAUUUCAGAUUCUUAAAAGUAGCCGCCCAUUGCCUUGAUGACAGCUUUGCACAUUCUUGGCCUUGUCUCAACCAGCUUCAUGAGGUAGUCACCUGGGUGUUUUUUUAAUCGAGGCACACCUAUUAAUUAAAGUACAUUGUGGAUUGUCUUUCCUUCUUAGGGCUAUAUUCAGUAUACCAUUCCUAUUUGGUAAAUGACCAAGUCCACAUUAUGGAAAGAGAAACGACAGCCCAUCAUUACUUUAAGACACGAAGGUCAGUCCGUAUGGAAAAUGACAAGAACUUUGAAAGUGCAGUCGCAAAAACCAUCAAGUGCUCUGAUGAAACUGCCUCAUGAGGACCGCUACAAGAAAGGAAGACCCAGAGUUUCCUCUGCUACAGAGGAUAAGUACAUUAGAGUUCGCUGUAUCUCAGAUUGCAGCCCAAAUAAAUGCUUCACAGAGUUCAAGUAAGAGACACAUCUCAACAUCAACUGUUCAGAGGAGACUGUUUGAAUCAGGCCUUUGUGGUCGAAUUGAUGCAAAGAAACCAUUACUAAAGGACACCAAUAGGAAGAAGAGACUUGCUGGGCCAAGAAACACGAUCAAUGGACAUUAGACCGGUGGAAAUCUGUCCUUUGGUCUGAUGAGUCCAAAUUUGAAAUGUUUGGUUCCAACCACCAUGUCUUUGUGAGAUGCAGAGUAGGUGAACGGAUGAUCUCCACAUGUGUGGUUCCCACCUUGAAGCAUGGAGGAGGAUGUGUGAUGGUGCUUUGUUGGUGACACUGUCUGUGAUUUUAUUUAGAAUUCAAGGCACACUUAACCAGCAUGGCUACCACAGCAUUCUGCAGCGAUACGCCAUCCCAUCUGGUUUGCGCUUAGUGGGACUAUCAUUUGUCUAUCAACAGGACAAUGACCCAAAACACACCUCCAGGCUGUGUAAGGGAUAUUUGACCAAGAAGGAGAGUGAUGGAGUGCUACAUUAGAUGACCUGGCAUCCACAAUCACCUGACCUCAACCCAAUUGAGAUGGUUUGGGAUGAGUUGGGCCACAGAGUGAUGGAAAAGCAGCCAACAAGUGCUCAGCAUAUGUGGAAACUCCUUCAAGACUGUUGGAAAAGCAUUCCAGGUGAAGCUGGUUGAGAGAAUGCCAAGAGUAUGCAAAGCAGUCAUCAAGGCAAAGGGUGGCUACUUUGAAGAAUCUCAAAUCUCAAAUAUAUUUGUUCUUUGUUUAAAACUUCUUAGGGCUGAGAUCCCGUUAACGGGGUCGAUAUGACAACAGCCAGUGAAAGUGCAGGGCACCAAAUUCAAAACAACAGAAAUCUCAUAAUUAAAAUUCCUCAAACGUACAAGUAUCUAAUACCAUUUUAACUUCUUGCGUCGAGCAAUCCCGGAUCCGGGAUUCUAUUUAUAGCCUCAAGCUCAUUAGCAUAACGCAACAUUAACUAUUCAUGAAAAUCGCAAAUGAAAUGAAAUAAAUAUAUUUGCUCUCAAGCUUAGACUUUUGUUAACAACACUGUCAUCUCAGAUUUUCAAAAUAUGCUUUUCAACCAUAGCUAAACAAGCAUUUGUGUAAGAGUGUUGAUAGCUAGCAUAGCUAUAAGCCUAGAAUUCAGCCAGCAACAUUUUCACAAAAACAAGAAAAUCAUUCAAAUAAAAUCAUUUACCUUUGAAGAACUUCAGAUGUUUUCAAUGAGGAGACUCUCAGUUAGAUAGCAAAUGUUCAGUUUUUCAAAAAUAUUAUUUGUGUAGGACAAAUCACUCCGUUUUGUUCACGUUUGGCUAUGAAAAAAACCUGUAUCCAGUUAUAGCCUCAAGCUCAUUAGCAUAACGUAACGUUAACUAUUUAUGAAAAUCGCAAAUGAAAUGAAAUGAAUGUGCUAGCUCUCAAGCUUAACCUUUUCUUAACAACAUUGUCAUCUCAGAUUUUCAAAAUAUGCUUUUGAACCAUAGCAAAACAAGCAUUUGUGAUAGCUAGCGUAGCAUUUAGCGUUGCAUUUAGCGGGCAACAUUUGCACAAAAACCAGAAAAGGAUUCAAAUAAAAUAAUUUACCUUUGAGGAACUUCGGAUGUUUUCAAUGAGGAGACUCUCAGUUACAUAGCAAAUGUUCAGUUUUACCUGAAAGAUUCUUUGUGUAGGAGAAAUCGCUCCGUUUUGUACAUCACGUUUGGGUACCAAAAAAACCCGAAAAAUUCAGUCAUCAAAACGGCGAACUGUUUUCCAAAUUAACUCCAUAAUAUCGACUUAAACAUGGCAAACGCUGUUUAGAAUCAAUCCUCAAUGUGUUUUUCACAUAUCUCUUCAUUGAUAUAUCAUUCGUGGUAGUCUCCUUUCUCCGGUGAAUCGCUUGGAAAAAGACGUGCAGUUGAAGAUGACGCACCAAUUUCGACGGAGGACACCGGGCGGACACCUGGCAAAUGUAGUCUCUUAUGGUCAAUCUUCCAAUGAUAUGCCUACAAAUACGUCACAAUGCUGCAGACACCUUGGGGAGACGAUAGAUAGGGCAGGCUCAUUCCUGUCGCAUUCACAGCCAUAUAAGGAGACAAUGAAAAACAGAGCCUCAAAAAUCCUGCUCAUUUCCUGGUUGCAGUUUCAUCUUGGUUUUGCCUGUAGCUUCUGUUCUGGGGCACUCACAGACAAUAUCUUUGCAGUUCUGGAAACGUCAGUGUGUUUUCUUUCCAAAGCUAUCAAUUAUAUGCAUAGUCGAGCAUCUUUUUGUGACAAAAUAUUGCGCUUAAAACGGGCAUGUCUUUUUAUCCAAAAAUGAAAUAGCGCCCCCAUAGAUUUAACAGGUUAAAGGUAAUCGUGUUGUUAAUCCCACCACAGUGUCCAAUUUCAAAUAGGCUUUACAGCGAAAGCUCCACAAAUGAUUAUGUUAGGUCAGAGCCAAGCAUCAGAAAAACAGCCAUUUUUCCAGGCAAAGAGUGGAGUCACAAAUCUGAAAUGGAGAUAGAAUUAAUCACUAACCUUUGAUGAUCUUCAUCAGAUGACACUCAUAGGGCUUCAUGUUAGACAAUACAUUUAUGUUUUGUUCGAUAAAGUUCAUAUUUAUAUAAAAAUAUCUCAGUAUACAUUGGCGUGUUAUGUUCAGUAGUUCCAAAAACAUCCGGUGAUAUUGCAGAGAACAUCAAUUUACGGAAAUACUAAUUUUAAAUGUUAAUGAAAAUACAAGCGCUUUACAGCGAAAGCACCAUAAACUAUUAUGUUAGGAGAAUCUAUUAUGUUGAAGAAUCUAAAAUAUUAAAUAUAUUUUGAUUUGUUUAACACUUUUUUGGUUACUACAUGAUACCAUAUGUGUUAUUUCCUAGUUGUUAUGUCUUCACUAUUAUUCUACAAUGUAGAAAAUAGUAAAAACUAAAAACCCUUGAAUGAGUAGGUGUGUCCAAACUUUUGACUGGUAAUGGUAUAUAAAUCCCCAACGUAACAACAGGUCCAAUCAUGACGUCCGUCAGAAUGGGGAAUGCAAACAAUUGUGCUAAUGAAUGCUAAAAUUAAUCAUUUUCACCUGACAGUAUAUUUGACUUGUUAACCUUUCUUAGGGCUGCUCUGCCUGUCUGUCUGUCGAUUUUAUUUCAUAUGUGGGUUCAUUGUCCCCACGAUGAGUAUGGAGUAUGAAAUAAUACAACAUAAUGAGUAGUCGGGAGUUAGUUCCUUAUUAAAUGAAAUAAAUAAUUUAAUAGAAACACAAUGUGGACCCCUCAAUGGGCUCUGGUUAAAACUAGUGCACUAUGUAGGGAAUAGGGUGCCAUAGGGCUCUGGUCUAAAGUAGUGCACUAUGUAGGGAAUAGGGUGCCAUAGGGCUCUGGUCUAAAGUAGUGCACUAUGUAGGGAAUAGGGUGCCAUAGGGCUCUGGUCUAAAGUAGUGCACUAUGUAGGGAAUAGGGUGCCAAAGGGCUCUGGUCUAAAGUAGUGCACUAUGUAGGGAAUAGGGCUCUGGUCUAAAGUAGUGCACUAUGUAGGGAAUAGGGUGCCAUAGGGCUCUGGUCUAAAGUAGUGCACUAUAUAGGGAAUAGGGUACCAUUUGGGACCCUUGUUUAGCCUUCAAUAUAAAGAUGAAGUGUACAAAAUACAACCCAACAUCUUGUCAGGAUGAUCCACAGGUGGUUUUCGACCUCUGUCUUCGGGUUGAAAAGUUCCUGUAACUUUAAUACACUGAUCAGGGUUUACUGUUGAAUAUUCCCAGAAUAUUGAGGGAAGCAGGAAUCAGCGAUCCUCAGAUCUCUGGAAAACCAGGGAAUCAGCAAUCCUCAGAUCUCUGGAACACCAGGGAAUCAGCAAUCCUAGGAUUUAUGGAAAACCAGGGAAUCCGCAAUCCUCAGAUCUCUGGAACACCAGGGAAUCAGCAAUCCUCAGAUCUCUGGAAAACCAGGGAAUCAUCAAUCCUCAGAUUUCUGGAAAACCAGGGAAUCAGCGAUCCUAGGAUUUCUGGAAAACCAGAGAAUCAGCAAUCCUCAGAUUUCUGGAAAACCAGGGAAUCAGCGAUCCUCAGAUUUCUGGAAAACCAGGGAAUCAGCAAUCCUCAGAUUUCUGGAAAACCAGGGAAUCAGCGAUCCUCAGAUUUCUGGAAAACCAGGGAAUCAGCGAUCCUCAGAUUUCUGGAAAAACAGGGAAUUAUUUUGAAAGUUACUGGAAUUCUGCAACCCUGCUCUGUUUGGAAAGGAAAGACGUGUCUUUAAUUAAGGUAGAGAAAUGUUCUCUUUCUGAAACUAUGAAUAAACAAAUAUGUAAAAUAAAAAGACUGAUGUAAAAGUCUGAAUAAUUUGUUUUAGUGUUGAUCUGUGAUUUAUGUCAGUGUUUUAUGACGAUACGUUAUCUCUGAUUCCCAGCUGUUUGGUGGAAUGUCACGAAAAGUCAUAUUUCCCUCAUAAUAAAGAACUCUUAUGGAAGUUAAUCUGAUUAAAA